rnacentral:rRNA from 1 species
UACGUAGGGUGCAAGCGUUAAUCGGAAUUACUGGGCGUAAAGCGUGCGCAGGCGGUUUGUAAGUCUGUCGUGAAAGCCCCGGGCUCAACCUGGGAAUUGCGAUGGAGACUGCAAGGCUUGAAUCUGGCAGAGGGGGGUAGAAAUUCCACGUGUAGCAGUGAAAUGCGUAGAGAUGUGGAGGAACACCGAUGGCGAAGGCAGCCCCUGGGUCAAGAUUGACGCUCGAUGCACGAAAGCGUGGGGAGCAAACAGGA